rnacentral:rRNA from 3 species
AGGGAUCAUUACACAAAUAUGAAGGCGGGCUGGAACCUCUCGGGGUUACAGCCUUGCUGAAUUAUUCACCCUUGUCUUUUGCGUACUUCUUGUUUCCUUGGUGGGUUCGCCCACCACUAGGACAAACAUAAACCUUUUGUAAUUGCAAUCAGCGUCAGUAACAAAUUAAUAAUUACAACUUUCAACAACGGAUCUCUUGGUUCUGGCAUCGAUGAAGAACGCAGCGAAAUGCGAUAAGUAGUGUGAAUUGCAGAAUUCAGUGAAUCAUCGAAUCUUUGAACGCACAUUGCGCCCUUUGGUAUUCCAAAGGGCAUGCCUGUUCGAGCGUCAUUUGUACCCUCAAGCUUUGCUUGGUGUUGGGCGUCUUGUCUCUAGCUUUGCUGGAGACUCGCCUUAAAGUAAUUGGCAGCCGGCCUACUGGUUUCGGAGCGCAGCACAAGUCGCACUCUCUAUCAGCAAAGGUCUAGCAUCCAUUAAGCCUUUUUUCAACUUUUGACCUCGGAUCAGGUAGGGAUACCCGCUGAACUUAA